rnacentral:lncRNA from 1 species
AGUCCGGAGCUUCCGGUCGCCGCGGCCGACCAGCUGAGGGCUCCCGGAGAUAUGGAGCGGGGUCAGCGAGGCCUGGUGGCGCCUCCUGGAGUCUGGGACGAGCGGCGGUCCGAGGAGCAGCCCAGAUUAUUGGCCGAGGAAAAACCAAUUUCGCUCUAAAGGAUAAGCAACAAAAUACUGAGGGGGGAAAAAGCCUACACAAAUGGAAACAUACGGCACAAAAUCAAGGAGCGACCAGUUCCGCAUGGUUACACUAAAAUGCACUGCACUCCCACUCUCUGGCUUGGCUGAAGAUAACCAGCAAGCUCUGAACAGUUUAAAAGCCUUCCAAGGACUGCAGCAGCACUGGACACACAAGAGAGUCGAGAACAGUAUUGGAUUUAUUGUUAGGGUUACAAUUUUCACGAUCUUUGCAUGCAAAACUUGCCACUCUGAGCCCAGUGAACUAUUUUUAUUUGGUUUACUUACUGGCUUUCUGGAUGACUAGGUAGAGCUUUAACUAAAGAACACUUCUGCUGUGGUCUGUGAUGAUGAAUUUUCCCGUAGUGUCAUUUCUAUAAUGGAAUAGGCAAACUGACCAUUUAGAAUGUGAUAUUCCUAAAUCACAUUCAAAUCAGUCUUAUCAGAGACUUCUAAUCAAUAAAAAUAAAGCACCAGAUGGCUAGAGGUAGUUUUUGACCUCAGCUUGGGCCUCAGCAAAGAUUUUUUGUGUUUUUUUUAACUACAUUAAAACAUCAGAGUUUAAGACACUUUUCUUUGAGCAUCAGAAAUACUCUCAGCUGAAUUUAGAGUUGAACUAUCCGGAAGAACCCUGGAGAAGGAGGGUGAUUUAUUUUCAACUUUCUGAUUUACCACCGACUUAAAUCAACCAAUGAGUUCUUUCUUUGACCAAAAAAAAAAAAAAAAAAAAAAAAAAAAAAAAAAAAAUUCAAGACUUGUGAUGUUUCUAUUUGUUUUGUUUUGUUUAGUUUGGUGUGUGCUUACUCAUUGUCCCAUUCUUUUGAUAACCUGUAUUUAUCUGCCACAAGUUAAACAAAAAUAAAUGAAAUAAGGAACACACCAAAAUCCUGCACUUAGGCCCUGUAUAGACAGUGUGUUCCAAACCUAAGGAGGUGUCUGCAACAGGGGAGGCUGCUGAGUGACUCUGCAGAGAACAGAUGACAUCUGUUAAAUGUCAAACACCAUCACGUCGUACUUCAAGUUGUACUUUACUUGGAACAUGGAAGCCAUCUGUCUGGAGCUCCCACAUCCAUUUCAAAUCUUCAGGGUUCCCCAUUCCAGGGGAGGAGCUGAACCUCCUGACACCGUCCACUUCCCUCCUGCCUCCUUCAAACAUCAUCCCUUUUUUCUCCCGAAUCCCUAAAUGUUUCUGCACCCAAGGGCUCUACCCCAAUAAACACAGCUAAGACUCUUUGAUUCUUAAAAUGUCUUCCUUUAACGUCCCACCCUCCAGAAUCUAUUGUCGUAUGUUUUGUUCACCAAAGGUAAUAAAAAUAAAUGUGGAUUUUGGUGCCGUUAUUUUUCAAAAAAAGCUAUAUAUUAAUAGUUUUUCUUGCUUAUGUAUACAAAUCAAAUUACUUAUUUUUAAAUCCAUCAUUCCCCUAGAGUUUCUGCAGCACUUGAUCCUCUAAUCACCUUGCUCUUGGUCUACCAUUGGCUUGGUUUUUCUCCUUCCUCUGUAGCAGUCCUUUCGUCUUUGUUGACUCAGAUUCUUCCUCCCUUCUAAUCCUCCAAUAUUUUUACCAUCCCCUAAUUGUAAACCACAGGCUUUUUAUCUUUACUGUCUCUCACAGCCCUCAUUUACUAUUACUUCCAUCCCGGAUCCUGGUGACUCCCAACUCCAGAAUAUAUACCCUUAACCUCACUCCUGACUUCCACUAAUACAUUCUGAAUGGUCCCUGCACAAUUCUAUCAAGAUACCCUGCUGUUAAUUUAAUAUGUUCCAAACCACAUUAAUCUUGCAAUAUACAAUCACUUUACACAUACCUCUCCCUUGCUCAAAAACCUUUAAUAGAUUCCCCGUUCCUAUAUAAGUAAAUAUUAACUUCACCUCCUCACCAUCACCACCACCACCCCCUAAUUGGGCCCUG